rnacentral:rRNA from 1 species
GAUGAACGCUGGCGGCGUGCCUAAUACAUGCAAGUCGAGCGAACAGACGAGGAGCUUGCUUCUCUGACGUUAGCGGCGGACGGGUGAGUAACACGUGGAUAACCUACCUAUAAGACUGGGAUAACUUCGGGAAACCGGAGCUAAUACCGGAUAAUAUAUUGAACCGCAUGGUUCAAUAGUGAAAGACGGUUUUGCUGUCACUUAUAGAUGGAUCCGCGCCGCAUUAGCUAGUUGGUAAGGUAACGGCUUACCAAGGCAACGAUGCGUAGCCGACCUGAGAGGGUGAUCGGCCACACUGGAACUGAGACACGGUCCAGACUCCUACGGGAGGCAGCAGUAGGGAAUCUUCCGCAAUGGGCGAAAGCCUGACGGAGCAACGCCGCGUGAGUGAUGAAGGUCUUCGGAUCGUAAAACUCUGUUAUUAGGGAAGAACAAAUGUGUAAGUAACUAUGCACGCCUUGACGGUACCUAAUCAGAAAGCCACGGCUAACUACGUG